GACGAACGCUGGCGGCGUGCUUAACACAUGCAAGUCGAGCGGUAAGGCCCUUUCGGGGGUACACGAGCGGCGAACGGGUGAGUAACACGUGGGUGACCUGCCCUCAGCUCUGGGAUAAGCCUGGGAAACUGGGUCUAAUACUGGAUAUGACUCCACGGUGCAUGUCGUGGGGUGGAAAGCCUUGUGCGGCUGAGGAUGGGCCCGCGGCCUAUCAGCUUGUUGGUGGGGNGAUGGCCUACCAAGGCGACGACGGGUAGCCGGCCUGAGAGGGCGACCGGCCACACUGGGACUGUGACACGGCCCAGACUCCUACGGGAGGCAGCAGUGGGGAAUCUUGCGCAAUGGGCGAAAGCCUGACGCAGCGACGCCGCGUGAGGGAUGACGGCCUCGGUUGUAA
rnacentral:rRNA from 1 species